rnacentral:rRNA from 1 species
AUUGAACGCUGGCGGCAUGCCUAACACAUGCAAGUCGAACGCGAAAGUCCCUCGGGGCGAGUAGAGUGGCGGACGGGUGAGUAAUACGUGGGAAUCUACCUGGUAGUGGGGGACAACCCGGGGAAACUCGGGCUAAUACCGCAUACGUCCUACGGGACAAAGGGGGCCUCUGCUUGCAAGCUCUCGCUACCAGAUGAGCCCACGUCCGAUUAGCUAGUUGGUAGGGUAAAGGCCUACCAAGGCGACGAUCGGUAGCUGGUCUGAGAGGAUGGCCAGCCACACUGGGACUGAGACACGGCCCAGACUCCUACGGGAGGCAGCAGUGGGGAAUAUUGGACAAUGGGCGCAAGCCUGAUCCAGCAAUGCCGCGUGUGUGAAGAAGGC